rnacentral:lncRNA from 1 species
CUUAGGGCUACCAGGGGCCUGUGGUGCAUAUCCCUAAGAUAUACAGAGAACUGGCGGACAUAGUAUGUCAUGACUCUUGCUUUGCGUUCGAGGGGGAUUGCUGCGGGCGAAUGAUUGGAGUGCCCAUUGGGGGCCCGAUGGCGGGUGUGUUGGCUGAGAUCAUAUUGAGGGGGUUGGGGCCAGGAAUUGUGGAGGGCUUGAGACCCUCGAUUGGGUAUUGUGGGCGAUAUGUGGAUGACAUCAUGGUGGCUUGGGAAAAUGAAGAGGAGGUGGAGCCGCUGGAGGAGAGGUUCACAUUGCCGGCGUGCGGAUUGGGGUUGGGGAUGGCGCGGGGGCCCGGCC